AGAGUUUGAUCAUGGCUCAGGAUGAACGCUGGCGGCGUGCUUAACACAUGCAAGUCGAACGGUGAACGAGGGAGCUUGCUCCCUCCGGAUCAGUGGCGAACGGGUGAGUAACACGUGAGUAACCUGCCCUUGACUCUGGGAUAAGCGUUGGAAACGACGUCUAAUACCGGAUACGACCCUCGGAGGCAUCUCCAGGGGGUGGAAAGAACUUCGGUCAAGGAUGGACUCGCGGCCUAUCAGCUUGUUGGUGAGGUAACGGCUCACCAAGGCGACGACGGGUAGCCGGCCUGAGAGGGUGACCGGCCACACUGGGACUGAGACACGGCCCAGACUCCUACGGGAGGCAGCAGUGGGGAAUAUUGCACAAUGGGCGAAAGCCUGAUGCAGCAACGCCGCGUGAGGGACGACGGCCUUCGGGUUGUAAACCUCUUUUAGUAGGGAAGAAGCGAAAGUGACGGUACCUGCAGAAAAAGCACCGGCUAACUACGUGCCAGCCGCCGCGGUAAUAC
rnacentral:rRNA from 1 species